CUUGGCGCUCGGCCUUAGAUUCUACCACGCAGCGUUAUUUUUAGAUUUCUAUUAUGCACUCAGAGUUUGUGAAUAAAUCGUAUUGAGGAGGGGAAUGUAGCCCUGCGUGGGUGGUUGGUGGUCUUUUUUCCAGUAAGUAGGAACCUUUGGGUUCUGAAGUUCUUGAAGCUGGGGUAGCAACCGGCAACCGUGGAGUGGCCCAUGAGAGCCUGAGCCAGCAUAAAGCCACCUUGGAUCAACCUUAGUCACUUCAAAUCUGGUCUCGUGGAGCCACCUGAAAGUGACAGCCAUAAAGAACAACGGGAAAAUCUGAAAAGGGAAAAAGAUGUGAUCAAGCCUGCAACUUCCCAGGCACUUUACCUGUCUCCUUGCAGGAGUCCGGGGUGCCUUGUACAGCCCUGGGAGGGAGCCAUUACAGAACUGCAGAAAAGAGAGAGUCAGCAAGGGAGUUGUUGGGUGGGUGCGACUCUGCCUGCAGGGGAGCUCUUCUGCCUCCAGAGCCCCAGCCCGCUGCUGAGAGGAGCUGCCUGGACAGAGCAUCUCUGAGGCCCGAGGUGCUGGGACUGCACACAGUGAGUUCUUUCCUAAGCUCUCGAGAGGACCAGAUUUUAGACUGUAACCUCUGAUUUAAAGCACGAAGGUGUUCCUGCUGCUUAGGUUGCUGGGUCUUGAUUUGUUUUUGGUAAACAGAGGGCACUGGCUUAUGUCCAUCCUCAAAGCUGCUUUGUCCUAGGGUGCCCGUUGCCAUAGUUAACGUGAG
rnacentral:lncRNA from 1 species